UCUGUGUGGACCCGGCUAAUGAACAAUUAUAUUACGUACCUACCUAAGUAUCGAUUAUUAAUGGCAAUAAAUAUGGUGAAAUUCGAGUUUUAUGAUAAAAUGAAACAUGCUAGGGUUUAAUGAAAGAGAUAACAAAGUCUUAGUGUACUGCAAUAUUUAUAUGUUUUUUAAAACAUAUAAUGUCAAUAAUUACCUAUACAUAAUAUUUUAUAACAUUUAAAGUUGCUUUUUGUCACUUCGUAAGAGUUUCAUGGGAAAGCUUAUAACAGAGGGCCUACCGUGAACCACCUUUGACGUGUUACCCCCCUUUCACAUUUAUGUAUGAGCUUACAAGUGCGACAGAGAGGCAACACGUCGAACGUGGUUCGCGGUAGACCCUCAGAGAUUGCCCAAAAGGCCAAAAACAAAAGUCAUUAUUACACUAUCGGUGGUAUCACAAAACAAGAAAUACAAUUUUGAACUUUGUUGCUAUAAAAUAAGAUACUAAAUUCCAAUACACACGACCCAGAAUUUUUACCUGUUUAGAAACUAUGGAUACAUUUUAAUAAUUGCGCUGUGCGCUUCAUUGGUGUUGCACCAAAUUUUUAACAAAAUAGCAUACUUACGCUAUAACAAGACAAAUUUAUAUGGUACGAGUUUCUCCAACAAACAUUAUUUUAGGCGAGGUGUGAUAUCAUACCUGUAUAGGCAUAGGCAGGUCCACUCCACACAGAGCGAGCAGCCUCGCGAGGAAACUCAUACCGAGACUGACGAGGCGCGUAGAGUCAUAUGUAGAGCUAGAGCGUGUGGUAUUAUAAGAGCAUCUCUGCAUUCUUGCCGCCGCAGUUAUGUAGCCCGGUAGAGCGUCCGUCGAGCUCGACGAGCCACUCGUACCACACGCGGUGCGAGUCCACGCAGCGCCAGAACCGAGCCGUGAUGACGGAGCCUUUACUGACGAGGCGCGUAGAGUCAUAUGUAGAGCGUGUGGUAUUAUAAGAGCAUCUCUGCACUCUUGCCGCCGCAGUUAUGUAGCUCGCCUUUACUGACGAGGCGCGUAGAGUCAUAUGUAGAGCGUGUGGUAUUAUAAGAGCAUCUCUGCACUCUUGCCGCCGCAGUUAUGUAGCUCGCCUUUACUGACGAGGCGCGUAGAGUCAUAUGUAGAGCGUGUGGUAUUAUAAGAGCAUCUCUGCACUCUUGCCGCCGCAGUUAUGUAGCUCGGUAGAGCGUCCGUCGAGCUCGACGAGCCACUCGUAUCACACGCGGUGCGAGUCCACGCAGCGCCAGAACCGAGCCGUGAUGACGGAGCCUUUACUGACGAGGCGCGUAGAGUCAUAUGUAGAGCGUGUGGUAUUAUAAGAGCAUCUCUGCACUCUUGCCGCCGCAGUUAUGUAGCUCGCCUUUACUGACGAGGCGCGUAGAGUCAUAUGUAGAGCGUGUGGUAUUAUAAGAGCAUCUCCGCACUCUUGCCGCCGCAGUUAUGUAGCUCGGUAGAGCGUCCGUCGAG